AGCUCCAAUAGCGUAUGCUAAAGUUGUUGCAGUUAAAAAGCUCGUAGUUGAAUUUUUGGCUCUGUCACAAGGUCUAGCCUCACGGCUAGUACUUUGUUGAUGGAGCCUUUCUUUCUGGUUAACUAGUGUGCCAUUUAUUUGGUGCGCUAGAGACCCAGGACUUUUACUUUGAAAAAAUUAGAGUGUUUAAAGCAGGCUUACGCUUGAAUACAUUAGCAUGGAAUAAUAGAAUAGGACUUUGGUUCUAUUU
rnacentral:rRNA from 1 species